GACGAACGCUGGCGGCGUGCCUAAUACAUGCAAGUCGUGCGGACCUUUUAAAAGCUUGCUUUUAAAAGGUUAGCGGCGGACGGGUGAGUAACACGUGGGCAACCUGCCUGUAAGAUCGGGAUAACACCGGGAAACCGGGGCUAAUACCGGAUAGUUUUUUCCUCCGCAUGGAGGAAAAGGAAAGACGGCUUUUGCUGUCACUUACAGAUGGGCCCGCGGCGCAUUAGCUUGUUGGUGGGUAACGGCUCACCAAGGCAACGAUGCGUAGCCGACCUGAGAGGGUGAUCGGCCACAUUGGGACUGAGACACGGCCCAAACUCCUACGGGUGGCA
rnacentral:rRNA from 1 species